GGGUUCUCCUAAAUGUUGCUGUUUCGAGCCAUUGGUUCUCCUGGAGGAGCUCAUCAUGGCUAGCUUCCCCAAUAUGAGUUCGGCCAUUACCAUCAGAGGAAUUCAGGACCUUAUUGGUUAUACAUUUCUCAAGGGAUGGCCAAUACAUUUUGUUUUCAUCUGUUGAUUAUUCCUCUGAAACCAAAACAAGUCUUGGAUACAGCAGGUUGUCUCUUCAUUAAAUUGACUGUUUCCUUUGAUGUGGAGAAGAUUCUCAGCUUUAAAUAAUCCCAUUUGUCAAAAUUUACUUUUGUUAACUGUAUUUUGUCACAUUAAAAUUUUUGAACUCGAA